rnacentral:rRNA from 1 species
AGUGAACGCUGGCGGUAGGCCUAACACAUGCAAGUCGAACGGCAGCACAGUAAGAGCUUGCUCUUAUGGGUGGCGAGUGGCGGACGGGUGAGGAAUACAUCGGAAUCUACUUUUUCGUGGGGGAUAACGUAGGGAAACUUACGCUAAUACCGCAUACGACCUUCGGUUGAAAGCAGGGGAUCUUCGGACCUUGCGCGAUUGAAUGAGCCGAUGUCGGAUUAGCUAGUUGGCGGGGUAAAGGCCCACCAAGGCGACGAUCCGUAGCUGGUCUGAGAGGAUGAUCAGCCACACUGGAACUGAGACACGGUCCAGACUCCUACGGGAGGCAGCAGUGGGGAAUAUUGGACAAUGGGCGCAAGCCUGAUCCAGCCAUACCGCGUGGGUGAAGAAGGCCUUCGGGUUGUAAAGCCCUUUUGUUGGGAAAGAAAAGCAGCAGGUUAAUACCCCGCUGUUCUGACGGUACCCAAAGAAUAAGCACCGGCUAACUUCGUG